GCCUUCGUGGUGUAACGGUAACACAGUCGGUGCGUAUUCGAGAGGUCCAGGGUUAGAUUCCCAGCGAGAGCA
rnacentral:tRNA from 1 species